GCAUGUUUCAAAUGCUUAGCUGCCUAUAAAGCUGUAACAGUUUAGCCUGUGGUCACUGAGGGAAGAAUAUAAGUUAGCCUCUGUAGUGACCAUGUGGAAGUCCUGACCUCGCUUGCAGACUUGACCUCUGGAUAUGACAAGGUGACGUUCUCUGUUCACUGAUACAAUCCCCUUACUUCAUCCGGCUCAUAAAAAGAAGUGCUGAAUCAGCAAAUAGAGUGAAGGAACAAUCAAGAUGAGAUGGCUGCAGCUUAUGUGACUCUCUAGGUCAUUACCUCUCUCCUUGCUGCAAAUGCUGCAUGACAGUAAGCUUCCAGGAUCUAGAAGCAAAUUAUAAAAAAAAAAAAAGAAAGAAAGAAAGAAAGAAGAAGAAGAAAUUCUCUGAAGUCUAUAAAGAAGAAAGAUUAGGCUGAUCUUACCAACUUCUGAAAUACACUAUAAAACUCCACUGAUUUUAUCAAUGUCUUACAAAAAAAGAACCAAACCAGAAAAAAAUUCAACGUUAACUGCUCAAAAUGUUUAGAAAUGUUUAUAUCCAUCAAGAACAAGGAACCACAAGUGGAAUUAAUGACAUGAUCAGGUAAAUUUGUUAUAAAGUUUAGUCUUUGAUAAGUUAAUGCCUGCAAAUAAUCUACCACUGUAAUACAUGAAUAAGCUCAAUGUUUUACUAACAGAAGGAAAAAUAAGAUAUUUUGUGUUUUUACAGCUAACAACUUAGUAAUACCUACUCAGAGCACAUACUUCUUUAUGUACCCAUAUGAACAUACAAUGCUAUGGAAUGUAAAGAAGUAUGUAUUUUUGGUAGGUAAUAAGCCACCAAGAGAGAACUAAAUGCUAAAAGAAGCCCUGGCUUCUUUCUACAUGAAUGACCUUCAUAUGGUAAAUUAACCUAUUUUCAAGUAGAUGACCUUUAGCGAUAUUAACACCAAAGAAAAAAUACCUACUACUUAUAGAUGGAAACUAAACAUCCCUAUGAUUUAUACUUUGUAAAGUAAAAGUUCUACUGAAGUAGAAUUCAAAUUAUAAUGAAACUCAUUUUUAAACAUUAAAGUUUAAAACAGUACAUUUUACAUUUUUUGAGUACUCACAUGAUUUAAAUGACCAUAACAGGAAAAACAGAUUACUAGCACAAAAGACUAAGAAAUACACAUGAUCUAUUUUCUGCCUCCACAAUUUGAUUUUGAUUUAAGUAUACCACAUUAGUAGAGCCAACAGAUUUAGUAGGAAAAAUAAGACAAUGACAAAAGCUGACUUCACUAAGGCUUUAAUGGCUAUUUUUCACUUUUGGUAAAUUUAUAAUUAUUAAUAUUAGAAAAAUUUCUGAGCUAAAGUUUUCAUUGUUUUGUUUUCUUUGUUGAUAGCUAUAGAAAGUCAUAAUUCUAAAAGAUUAUCAUUUAAGUAAAACUCUGUACAAAAAGAAGUGGCCCUUAUCCUUUGCAAGUUUAUCAAGUUUUUAACCUAAUAUCAUUAUUAAAUGCUAUGUUAAAAUAAUUAAAACAUAAGAAUAAAAGAUAAAAAAAAAUGACAAGAUGCUGGGCCACCAAAAUAAGUCAAGAGGGUAUACUGGUAACCGACUGCCAAACUUUUAAAAGAUAGUAUUACCUUUGAAUCGGCUUUCUCCAACAGGGGCAUAUAAAAUGAAAAUACUAUAAUCAAGAGCCAACUUAUACAGACAGAAUAACCAUUUUUAUUAGUUAUAUUUCCAUUUUUACAGACAGAAUAGAUCUACUAUAUUUAGCAUGUUAGUCUAUUUUGUAUAGUUAUAAAAAUUAUAACGUUCUUAGCAAUAAUUGAUAAUUUUAAGCUAUUAUAAAGUUAGAAAAAAGAAAAGAUACUAGUAUUCAUGAUUCUUAUUUCUUAUUAAAAGUUAUUUCAACUGAAAUAUUAAUACAUAUAAAAAAGUAUAUAUUAUUUUAAAUUUUUGUGUCAGAAAUUGAAAAGAAAUGACCAUAGGUUAUAUUACAGUUAAUUUUCUCUAUUUAAUAAGAUACUUAGUCAAUAGAAAGGUGAUUUUCAUUUCAUCCAAUUAUUAAAAAUGAAUUAUUUUAUUAAAUAUAGUAUCAUGUAUAUAAUUGCACAUUUAUUGGAAAUUAUAAAAAGCAUGUUUUGAAAUUAUUCAUUUUCAAAGAAAUUAAUUCAAAUCUUAACUCAUUUAAACAUAGCCCUUCUGGACAUCCACCAAGAAAAAUGCCAAUGCUUCAUAUUCCACUAAGUUUACUGUACAUAUCCUAAAUACCAAAUGAAAAUAUAUGCCUCAGAAGUAGAGUUUGUUCUAUAAACUACUCAACGGAUAUUAUUCUACUCGUGUUUUGUAAUGAACUUAUUCUUCAAGUAUAAAAGGUUUUAAUAAUUCUUUUUAAACAUUCCAGCAACUAAGAAUUUCUUUUCUAUAAUACUGAGUAGAUAUAAUCCUUAGAAAAUAAAAUGAUAGGAUAUUUAUUUAUGAAGAAAAAUUAUAAACUGAUUCUGGUGCUUACAAAUUUAGCUUAAUAUAUCAGAAUAUUUUCAAUCACUCUAAAAUGUCACAUCCAUCACUUAGAUCAGCUGUUCAUUUUUAACUGAGUACAUGUUAAACUCUGGGCAUCUGCUGACACUGGUGUAACUCAAACAUUUCAACUGUCUCCCUGACAGGGAUAACAGAUGCUGACAUUAUCAAAUGCUGUACUAUUUUUUUCCCAUGGUCUCUCCUUGCCCCGAUAUGGCCAGUAUAUGAAACUGAACUGCCAUCCAAAAGCACACUUGAGCAACUGGAUCUGCUAAAUGGCUCCCAUAUAACUACUAUAAUUAGAAGCCAGUGUUAUUGCUAUCUUCAGCACUUAAGUUCAGGCCAUUUAACACCUGUUUCACAAAUAAAUGAUAGAAAGAACUGUAGUGACAUUAAUUUCACCAGCAGCAUGAUACUUAAGAACCAACAGAUGCAGAAUACCCUUCAGAAUUAUUUGAAUGUUGCCCAAGAUAGUGUUGACCUUCUCCCACUUCAGUUCAAAACAGUAACUAUAAAAAAUUUUUACUCUCUAUAUUUCAUUGAGUCUUAUUUUAUAGACAUUAUUUUAUAAUUUACCAGAGUUGUAUUUUAUGCAAGUUUCAACACUAAAACCAUGUUAUAACAAAUUUAAAGUACUGAUUUCAAAGUUUACAUCAUAGAUUUUUUUUAUUUCAAGUUCUAUAAACAGUUUAAUGAGUGAAUAAAUUUGGUACACUAGAGCCCCAGACAGCAGCACAGCAGCAUGUGUUCAACAGAAUACAUGGUACAUUUUAAUACUCAAAAUUCAUGGAUUGUAGCUACAAUCAAUGUUGAUAAUAAGAAGUUAACUAGGCAAUCUACUCAAAAUGAUGAAGAAUUUAGUCAAGGAAAUAAUCAUUAAAAGAGUUAAGUUACCGACCCAUUAUUAGCAACCCUACAUAAGCAAAACCAAAGUAAAAUGAGCUGGCAUGCGCAGCAGUUCCUCCCACCACCAAGUCCAAGCAAUACACUGAAUUCAUGUGUGAUCUAUUUAUAAACCAAAGGGCACGGAUUUUCCUAAGGCCACUCAUAUUCCUCCACCCCAUCACCAACUUGCUACUAAUCCUCAACUAUACUACUAAAAAAAGCAGUGGCAGUAGAAAUGUUUGACUAACAUUACUCUUCCCCAACUUUUAGUUUAACCAAAGAAUAUGGUUAAAUGCCUAGAGAUAAGUAGAAAACAUUACUCUAAAGUAUAUCCAGGUCUAUUUGUUCUUUUAAAUGUUGCUGGUUUUGAAGGAGGUUACUGCUUACAGUUAAGAAUUAAGCAAAGCUGUUAAAACAAAGAUGUACAAUGAUAAUUCCUUAAUGCAUUAAAAAUGUGUUAAAAGGAAGAAACUUCCAAAUUUUAAGAGUAGGAUAUAGUAGGAAACGUUGCCUUCAAAACAGAAAAUUUUAUUUUAAUGACUAAAGCAUUGACAGGAAACUUUUAACACUUGUAGAUGGCCCAUAACUAUUAUUUUUAUAAAUGAAAAGCAUUUAACUGUUUUGGAUCCCAAACUGGCAGCACUACAAUGCUUUGCUAAAGCUGGUAAAAUGGAACCAAAUCGCCUCUUCAAUGGAUUUGGUCCCCUUCAACCAGCUGUAGCUAUGCAUUGAUUACUACAGGAGAGACGACGGUUCACUCAUGAAUAUCAGUUACCUGUCAACUAAUUUCACCUUAAGUUAUUCAUACUGUGGAUAAAAUAAAAUAAAUUGUUAACUGUUAAUUCUACUUGAAAAGACUAUAGUAAAGAUGUUUAUAAAAAGCUUUAUGAAAAAUGUGCAAAUGACUUAAGGGAUUCAAAUAAAAUAAUUUUACUUAA